CUGUAGUCACCAGAACAACUACAGCUUAUUUAAUUUGUUCUGGUGAGUAGAAUCAUCACCUUCAGGCUUUUUGCUGUAAACACUGUCUUUUCAGAAAAAAAAUACAGUGUUUACAUUACAGCCUAGUGAUAACUUCACUGGCCACUCCUCAGAUGGCUGUUAGAGUUCCUGGGUCAUGGUUGCCUAAAAUGCAUCAAAACAUUCAGUAUCUCCUCCCUCUGCAUGCAGACACUGAAC